rnacentral:rRNA from 1 species
CACGUAGGGCGCAAGCGUUGUCCGGAAUUACUGGGCGUAAAGCGCACGUAGGCGGAUUGUUAAGUCGGGGGUGAAAUCCUGGAGCUCAACUCCAGAACUGCCUUCGAUACUGGCGAUCUCGAGUUCGGGAGAGGUGAGUGGAACUGCGAGUGUAGAGGUGAAAUUCGUAGAUAUUCGCAAGAACACCAGUGGCGAAGGCGGCUCACUGGCCCGAUACUGACGCUGAGGUGCGAAAGCGUGGGGAGCAAACAGG